GACCCGCCUGCGCCGACGCCGGACCACGUGGCGCGCGGAGGCGCCCGGGGGCGGGGCGGGGUGGAGCAGAGCCUGAAGUCCCCGGAGGCGCCGCCAACGGAGUCCUGGCAGGUCUGGUGUUUGAGCCGGCUUUCAGGUCUCUCAUGUGUGCCGAAUGAAUGAAAGCGCCUUUACGUUCACCGUCAUCGUCGUCAUCAUCAGCAUCAGCAUCAAAACCAUCAUCCAAUGCCUGAGUCCAAGGGCCUGAAGAGAGAGCUGCAGUCAAACAGAUCUGGGUACUGAGUGAUCUUGAUCAAGUUACUUAUCCUGUCAACCUUGUUUACCUUACUUGUGAAAUGGAGAAGUUGACACCAGUGCCAACACUGGGUGGCUGUGGGGUAAACAAGAUUAAGUAUGAAAUGGGCUUAAUUGUUUAAUUCAUGUCUACUAUCAUUAAAAUGAUCAUUAUUGUUCAGA